rnacentral:rRNA from 1 species
UACAGAGGUCCCAAGCGUUGUUCGGAUUCACUGGGCGUAAAGGGUGCGUAGGUGGCGGGGUAAGUCUGAUGUGAAAUCUCCGAGCUUAACUCGGAAACUGCAUCGGAUACUGCCUUGCUCGAGGGUUGGAGGGGGGACUGGAAUACUUGGUGUAGCAGUGAAAUGCGUAGAUAUCAAGUGGAACACCAGUGGCGAAGGCGAGUCCCUGGACAACUCCUGACACUGAGGCACGAAAGCUAGGGGAGC